GCCGGGGUGGCGGAAUUGGUAGACGCGGCGGAUUCAAAAUCCGCUGGCCGAAAGGUCUUGGGGGUUCAAGUCCCCCCUCCGGUA
rnacentral:tRNA from 1 species